CUAUAAAUCCUUGUCUCUUAUUUUAUCUCUUUCUCCAUCUCUGUAUUCAAAUUCAAAUCUCUAUUUGAAUGAUUUCCAAAUCAGUUUACAAAACAGUUUUCUGAAUAAAAUAAAAACAAAAGAAGAAAGAUUUUCAAAACCUAACCCUCUAAUCCAGGCCGCUCUCUCCCUGGCCUUUUUCCCUUCUUCCCGGCGGCCCAAGUUAGCCCAGCUUCAGCAGCCCACCUCUCCAGCCCACCUUCCUUGGCCCGUACCCCUUCGCCCCUUUCUUUUCCCCUUUGUCGUCAUCUCCAGACGGACACGAGGAGAGCGUGAGAUCUCCGGUCGCUGUCCAACCACCACGCCAACCACCCCUCUCCUCACCUGCUCCCCCUCCUUAUCAUCUCCUUCCAAACCCUAGCGCCUCCCCUUCGUCCUCCCUCCUGCCGCCGCCACUCCUCUUUCCCUCACCCUUCCUUUUCUCUCUGUGAGCAACAAAGGAGAAAACGACCACCACAGUACCUCCUCCACCUCGCCAUGGCGUCGCCGCUACAGGCCACCCCGCGUCUAUCCGUGAGUACCAGAAGAUGCGCCUCAACGUCCUCUUCAUCCCCAACCAAGGAAUUGAACCGGAACCUCUCCAAUCGCCCGCAAAUUCGCCGCUACCCAACUCCAACAGCCGGUGCACCCCCGACGCCAUCUCCCUUGCCCCGGUUUGCCUCCAGACGCCGAAGCCAUCUCCAACCAGAGCUCCUUCACGAUGACCGCCAUGGCUACUCAGUUUCAUCUCCGCCACGGGUUGGUUCAAGUUGCCCCGCGCCCUAAUCUUGUCACCAUCCGAACAGACAUCACAGUGAUCCCGCAGGCCUAGAUGGUUUUCUUUCAUGUGGCCUCUUCUAAAUCAACAAUAGCAGCUAGCUCAUCUGAUCCGCUGUUGGGUCUCGACCCGUGUUCCUCCCGGUGCAGCCCAUCGCG